rnacentral:lncRNA from 1 species
UGUGCUCAAAAAAUUUGUGUCAAAUAAAUGUAUGAAUUUCAUCCAUUUAUCCAGGGCAUAAUUUAGUAUAGUGUUUAAGAACCUGGGCCAUGGAAUCAGCCUGCCUCUCUCAGAAUUUCUGCUCUACCACUAGAUAGUUUUGGGACAUUUACUUCACCUCCGUAAGCCUCAGUUUCCUCAUCUGCAAAAUGGGUAUACUCAAAGAACAUGAUUCAUGGAGAAGAUGCAUACAGAAUACUUAGCCUGGUGUCUGGCAUUUACUGAACAUUCAGUAGGUGUUAACUGUUAUUAUAAGUGAAAAAAAUUAGUAUUCAAAUUCUUCUUUUGCUUUCUUUGGAGGUACAAUGUUUUCAGAAGAAUAAUAUGUGGAAGAAGGGUAUUAGCAUUAAAGGAAUACCUCAGCUCCUUUAAUCCUCACAACUAUCUUAUGAGAUAGCGCUGUUUUCCUAUUCAAAAAUGAGGCCACUGAGUCUUAGCAAGGUUGAAUGACAUGCCCAAGGUCACAUGCGGGCAGAGUUGGGAUUCGCAUCUAGAUUUGUGUCAUCCUAGUAUUGGUCUUAGUCUUGCCACUGUAACACCCGCCCCCUGUCUCCUUACUUUAGCAGUCACGACCUUGAGCAUUUUCAUUUUGACUGAACACGUCCGCUCUUUCAUGGCUCUCAGUUUGCUUAUGUUUAUUCUGUUCGGGUCCUCUUUUCCCUUCAUUUAUGCUCUUUGAAAUUCUACCUGUCUUUUCAAUUCCUGCUCAAAGCCAUCUCCUCCCUCAGCCCUCCAAUUUAACCCCUUUCUCUGCUAUGCUGCAGACACACACUGCCUUCUACCCACGCAUUAGUUAUUCUGUACCAUGUUUCUUCCACAGAAGAUGGGGAUCUCCUUGAGUCUGUGAACUGCACAAGGCUCCUCUUUGUGUCUCUACGGUGCAUGGCACAGCAUAGUGCAGUUACAACAUAGGCAAACCUGACUUCCAGGAUCUUAACUGCGCCAGCUUGUAAUGCCACCAUCAUAUUUCCUGCUUUAAACAGUCAGCAGAUGCAAGUAAGCCUGCCAGUCAAUGCAUUUGUCAAAACAGGCUGAGGUGUUCUACCUAGUGGCCGGAGGUAAAGCAUAUUGGUCUAGUGGCCAUGUGAAUAGGUGGUGAUGCUAUAUCAAUAUCUUCAAGGAAAGACAUUCGGGUAUUAAUUGUGAGUCAUAGAGUAAUGCUGAUCAAGAAAGAGAUAGAUAAACUGAUACAGGGCUCUAAACACAAGAGUCGUACAUACAGUAUGGCACACAAUGGUACAUUAGGAUUGUUUUAAAGGUGAUUUUAUUAUAUGCAAUUUAUGUCUGACCCUGGCACACAAUAGGCAUUUGAUAAACGUUUACUAAGUUGUGGAGUUGAUUUGAAUUAAAAUAAACCAAUACUGUAUGACUUCGAAAUUGAGGGGAUACCACAUACCAGAAAAAGAAAAUUGCUUUAUUGCCCUUACAUAGUUGCCUACAAUUUGGUGUAUAUAUAGAAAUGUAUCUUGAAUGCUAAAGAUAGCACAAGUAAUUGAAGGUGGACUGAAGGGUGACAAGUGACUUGAUUAGAAAGGAAAUUUCAUCUUGUCACUUAUUACCUGGAAUCCAAAUUUAUGCAAGAUCAGCCAGAAGGCAAUUUUCAUUUUAUCCAGGAUAAACCAGAGCUUAAGCUCCCAAAGCCUGUCAUCUUGAAUGUCUCCAAUAGUCACUCAAAUUGUUGGUGCACUCUUGUUUAGCAUGUUUAUUACAAUUGUCAUGCUGUCUUGAUUUUUCUAAAAUUACAAUCUCAUUAUUACAGGAUUUUCUGUUGAAUGACACUUCAUAAAAAAGACUUUGAUUGCUGAGUUACAAAGACAAUUGUAUCUUCUUGUAAAGCAUACAGUCUUGGUGGUCCUACCCCAUGAACUGGCUGUCCCAGGACGGUUUUACGGUGAGGCAUUAGUCGUGUAUUGAUUUUCUUCAAUCUUCAGUUGAAUAUUUGUAGUAAUUGCUGUUUCAGCAAUGGUGAACCACAUAGCAUUGUCAGAACCUGACUCAUUCUGUUUCAUGAUGGUUAGUCUCUGUUGGCCCUCCAAAUACGUCUCUAC